UAAAUAGAUUUAAUGGUAAUUUAUUCUUUAAACAAACAAGAGAUCACUUUACAUCGCGGUAUUGGAAUGAGAUAAGAGGUUAGCCUUUGUGCAGUAUAAACAUGAUUUAGUAUAUACUAUACUAUAUGGCGCGGUAUGUAGUUUCCAUUGAUAAUCAAUGAUCUUAUAAAUUUUUGGAAAAACAUUGCAAGAAGGAACAUAGUUAUUUGAUAAAAAAUCUAAUUGGUAUACUUUCGUGAAGUACACGCGUGUAAAAUAACGUGAAGUAAACAUACGUCUUAAAUAAGUGUUAUUGAUACAAACUAAUGGGCUAAUAUAUCUCUGAAUUGAGAAAUCGGACCAGUUAAUAUAUCAUUUAGUUGAGAAUUCAGAUAUAUCACCCAGUUGAGGAAUUGGAUAUAUCAUUGAAUUAAGGAAUCGGAUGUAUCACCGAGUUGAGGAAUCGGAUAUAUCAUUCAACAUAUCACUGAGCCGAGGAAUCAGAUAUAUCCCCAAGUUUGGGAAUCGUAUAUAUAUAUUAUUGAGUUGCAGAAUGGGAUCAGCUGGAAUAUAUCACUGAAUUGAGGAAUCUAUCACUGAGUUAAGGAAUAGGACCAGUUAAUAUAUCACUGACCUUAUGAUUCGGAUGAAGCAUCUUUUAUUGUUAAACAUGUGCGAGUAAUAAACACGAAAUAAUAAGGUAUGCGGACAAAGUACGCCGUACCAGUGUUUUAUCUGGUAUUAUUGCUUGUCAAAGGGACGUUACUCCAAUCAAGUAACGAUGUUGAAGUGCAGGACGGACAGACGAAUGGAAGAGAUAAUGAAAGUACCGCGAUAACUGCCAUCAUUGUUACAGCAGUAAUAUGUGCGCUGGCGGCCAUACUCUGUAUUGGUGCGUGUGCCUUUUGUUGUUAUCAGAAGUGUUGCAUAGAGGGACUCAGCAUUUAAGACAACAACAUAGACAUACAAACGUUAGUGAAGAACUAAUAGAAUGCACAGGCGUUUUUUUUUUUCGUUUUUCUUUCUUUUACAAUUGCUAGUCAAUAAUUGCCAUAUAAUUAGAUGCCUGGAUGGACAUACGCUGUUAGAAGACAGUGGCAUGAACGUUUUAUUGUGGAGUUUAGAAAUCGCCUUGAGACGCUCACAAUCAAGCACAUGUAAUAGCUAUGUCUGAUUAAAAUUGCCAUAUUUUGAUGUCCGAACUGCCGUCAUCUCCACAUUUUUGCACGUAUAGCUCAAAUUUCUUUUAUGCAUAUAUGUGUGUCAGUCUAAGUUUAUUUAUUUAAAGUUGUAGUCCUACAUUGGCUUCACCUCCAUGUAAGUCGUUUUGACUUUAGAUUGAUAGUAAAAACUACAAAAGAGAAGAAAUAAUCCGAAACAAUGUUAGUCCUAUUAAUUAGUUUUGGAAACAAGGGAUCUUUCUGGCUCCCCGUGGUUUUAUAGCCUUGUGUCUAACCAUUGGAUCAGAGAUCGCCUUAUAUAUUGUAUAUACAAUAGUAUCAAUUUUGUUCGAGCACGAUUGUGUUUAGUACAUCGAAAUCAUGAUGGUGUAUUGACAAAUUAUUUGAUAAUUAUAACGUCAUAAUUGUUAUACAUUUGAAAUAAAAUAUAUUCUUGUAACA